AAACUAGGAUUAGAUACCCUUUUAUUAUGGUCUGUAGGUAUUAAGGAUUGGUUUUUAAACCUAAGGUUUCUGGCGGUUUUCUUUCUUUUCAGAGGGGCUUGGUUUUUAAUCGAUAGUCCGCGUUUAGUUUUUCUUUCUUUAUUAUUUUAUAUAUCUCCGUUUGAAGAUGAUUGUUAGCUUUUCCUUCUUUUUAAAUUUUUAUUAAAUUCAGGUCAAGGUUUAAUUUAUAAGUGAGAGAAAGUUAGCCAUGUAUUUAUGUCUUUUUUGAAGUGUAGAUUUUUAGGAUUUGUUGGUAAAUUUAAGUUAAUUUUUUAUUUUGAAUUAGUAAAAGAGAAUGUACAUAUCGCCCGUCACUCUUGUGAAAGAUAAGUCGUAACAUAGUA
rnacentral:rRNA from 1 species